rnacentral:piRNA from 1 species
AAGAUCACGUUAUUUCCAUAAGGAAGGGUCCU